AUUGAACGCUAGCGGCAGGCUUAACACAUGCAAGUCGAGCGGUAACAGAGAGAAGCUUGCUUCUCUGCUGACGAGCGGCGGACGGGUGAGUAAUGCCUAGGAAUCUGCCUAGUAGUGGGGGACAACUUGCCGAAAGGUAAGCUAAUACCGCAUACGUCCUACGGGAGAAAGGAGGGGACCUUCGGGCCUUUCGCUAUUAGAUGAGCCUAGGUCGGAUUAGUUAGUUGGUGAGGUAAUGGCUCACCAAGACCGCGAUCCGUAACUGGUCUGAGAGGAUGAUCAGUCACACUGGAACUGAGACACGGUCCAGACUCCUACGGGAGGCAGCAGUGGGGAAUAUUGGACAAUGGGGGGAACCCUGAUCCAGCCAUGCCGCGUGUGUGAAGAAGGUCUUAGGAUUGUAAAGCACUUUAAGUUGGGAGGAAGAGCAGUUAACUAAUAUUUGACUGUUUUGACGUUACCGACAGAAUAAGCACCGGCUAACUUCGUGCCAGCAGCCGCCGUAA
rnacentral:rRNA from 1 species